UGGGAAAUAUGGGCUGAUGCUGCUUCUCAAGUUUUGUUUACCUUGGGUCACAUUUUUGGAGGCGCCAUAACCCUAGCUUCUUACAAUGACCUGCGACAGAAUACCCUCUGGACUGCACUGUUCGUCAUCUUGUGGGACACCAUAUCGUCCUUCCUCUUUGGGUGUUUGGUCUUCACAUCCCUGAGUAAGCUGACCUCUGACUUGAAUGUGGACAUUGAAGUUAUGUUCAAUACCAAUCACACAAUCGGCACAAUGGGGGUGGAAGUCAUCUUCAUAGCGUACCCAGCUUUCUUGGCCGAAGUGAAAUCCCCUAUUUGGUUUGUGCUCUUCUUCCUGAUGAUCCUAACACUGGGCAUCGAUAGUCUGAUAGGGCUCGUGGAAACUGUCACAACGGCCCUCUUUGACAACUUCACCCGUCUAAGGAAUCGC